CCCUACGGGGCGCAGCAGGCGAGAAAACUUUACAAUGCGGGAAACCGUGAUAAGGGAACUCCGAGUGCCCGUAAAAUCGGGCUGUCCACCAGUUUAAAUAACUGGUGAAGAAAGGGCCGGGCAAGACCGGUGCCAGCCGCCGCGGUAAUACCGGCGGCUCGAGUGGUGGCCACUAUUACUGGGCUUAAAGCGUUCGUAGCUGGUCUGUUAAGUCUCUGGGGAAAUCUACUGGCUUAACCCAUAGUCGUUUCAGGGAUACUGGCAGAGCUAGGACCGGGAGAGGU
rnacentral:rRNA from 1 species